UACGUAGGGUGCGAGCGUUGUCCGGAAUUAUUGGGCGUAAAGGGCUCGUAGGCGGUUUGUCGCGUCGGGAGUGAAAUCCACUGGCUUAACUGGUGGCUUGCUUCGAUACGGGCAGACUGGAGGUAUGCAGGGGAGAACGGAAUUCCUGGUGUAGCGGUGAAAUGCGCAGAUAUCAGGAGAACACCGUGGCGAAGGCGGUUCUCUGGGCGA
rnacentral:rRNA from 1 species